GGCAUCACUGCGACAAUUUCAGGCUUCAGGCUAACGUUCCUUUGCAGUAACACCCUUGAAAUCCAGCCUCCUGCAUGGCCCCUGCACCAUCUUGGAAAAAGAUCUCAGGGCCGUUGCUCCGGACCAGACGCCGGUCCCCUGAGAGCACUCAAAGGCAGCUCUCACAAAUUGAGCACCGACAGGCAGAAGCUGAGGUUGCGGUGAAGGAGGAGGGCACGGUCACCUGCACGUAAAUCUCUCCAAGUUCCCCUUUCAUGAGACCCGCUCGAAGAGAGCAACAACAAACAUGGUCAGAGGGUCGGGGAUAAAGCACAGACCUGCAGCUGGAC
ensembl:lncRNA